rnacentral:rRNA from 1 species
GAUGGACGCUGGCGGCGUGCCUAAUACAUGCAAGUCGAGCGAACGGACGAGAAGCUUGCUUCUCUGAUGUUAGCGGCGGACGGGUGAGUAACACGUGGAUAACCUACCUAUAAGACUGGGAUAACUUCGGGAAACCGGAGCUAAUACCGGAUAAUAUUUUGAACCGCAUGGUUCAAAAGUGAAAGACGGUCUUGCUGUCACUUAUAGAUGGAUCCGCGCUGCAUUAGCUAGUUGGUAAGGUAACGGCUUACCAAGGCAACGAUGCAUAGCCGACCUGAGAGGGUGAUCGGACACACUGGAACUGAGACACGGUCCAGACUCCUACGGGAGGCAGCAGUAGGGAAUCUUCCGCAAUGGGCGAAAGCCUGACGGAGCAACGCCGCGUGAGUGAUGAAGGUCUUCGGAUCGUAAAACUCUGUUAUUAGGGAAGAACAUAUGUGUAAGUAACUGUGCACAUCUUGACGGUACCUAAUCAGAAAGCCACGGCUAACUACGUG